CCUCUCUGUCCCUCCCCCACUGUCUCUCUGUCUCUCUAAAAUAUAAAUAAAACAUUUAAAAAAUUUUUAAAUAACAGCAGCAAAUAUAAAUCAACAAAGGGUGAGAGAUACAAUUUAGGGCCAUCAUUGACCUGAGGAACGGAGUAAGACAAGUGCCAUCCACUUGGUAUCAUACCGGCUGCAUCUAGCCCAGAGGCAGGUCAGAGUGGAAAGUCAUCCAGCCGCCUGUGAGACCACCAACCAAAUUAAUUUAGACUGAUUUUUAAAAAGUCACUUUAUUUGGGCCAAAUCCAUUUAAAAAGCUUGUUUUUUAUCUUCUCCCUUGACCGUCUAACCAUAUUUGUCUUGGCUUGCUUGGGCCAUUUUAUCAAGAGAUCAACCACAAACUCCUGCCAGUUUUUAGUCAUAAGAACCUUCUUCGUUGGCAGGAAAAUCAAGAGAACACACAGGUUGUAAAGCAGCCACCGUACACAGGUGUUCCAGUAGCUCCUGUGAAGGACGUUUAAGGGACUCUCACGUUCAAGUGCACAUACUCAGAGUCGCUCCCUGAAGCCUGAAGGGUUCACCACUUUUGGCCAGCAUUCCAUUUGGGAAGUUUUCGAAGAGAACUAUUUAAGAGGAAAAACAUACUCUCACAAAUAAACUUAUAUUUAAAAAAAAAAAAAGAUGUAGCUCUCGGGACUUCCAACGCCUCU